rnacentral:rRNA from 1 species
GAUGAACGCUGGCGGCGUGCCUAAUACAUGCAAGUCGAGCGAACAGACGAGGAGCUUGCUCCUCUGACGUUAGCGGCGGACGGGUGAGUAACACGUGGAUAACCUACCUAUAAGACUGGGAUAACUUCGGGAAACCGGAGCUAAUACCGGAUAAUAUAUUGAACCGCCUGGUUCAAUAGUGAAAGACGGUUUUGCUGUCACUUAUAGAUGGAUCCGCGCCGCAUUAGCUAGUUGGUAAGGUAACGGCUUACCAAGGCAACGAUGCGUAGCCGACCUGAGAGGGUGAUCGGCCACACUGGAACUGAGACACGGUCCAGACUCCUACGGGAGGCAGCAGUAGGGAAUCUUCCGCAAUGGGCGAAAGCUUGACGGAGCAACGCCGCGUGAGUGAUGAAGGUCUUCGGAUCGUAAAACUCUGUUAUUAGGGAAGAACAAAUGUGUAAGUAACUAUGCACGUCUUGACGGUACCUAAUCAGAAAGCCACGGCUAACUACGUG